CAGUCUGGAAAUCGAGCGUACAUUCUCUGCGCCACUUCCAAUCAAGAAAUGAAAAGGUGGUUGGAGGCCAUGGAAACGGCUAUUCAUCCCAUCACACAGAAUCACGUGUGGAUUGAUGUCACGAGACACAACUCUAAUCUGCCUCCUCUGGCUGUGAAAAACCCUG